CAAUUCAUUAAUAAAUUGCCUAGGGAAGAAUGGAGAUGUUGAUGAAGCACACAUGAGGUUCAGAGAGAUGCAAGAGAAAGGUUUCAGUCCUGAUGUUGUCACGUACAGCACACUAAUAGAGUGUU
rnacentral:miRNA from 1 species